CCCUUGGAGUCCCUGGGUUUCAACUUGCAGUGGUGAUCAAAACAUUCAUUCCAAGUGACACUCCCAUCUGGGUGUGCGCUUUGUUUGGAGGUGCAAUUCCUUUGAAUUGCUCCUCGUAAUAGGUAAGCUUUUCUGGGACCUACCCAUUCUAUCUGUACAAUCAUAUUGGCAGAUUCCUUAUUCAGCAACUCUGAUGAUGAUAAACCUUGGAGAUCACAGAUGGUAAGAUGUAGCUUGAAACUUCUGCUCUCUGGUGUAUGAACGCCUGCACAAAACAUCUUGCAGAUGAGAAUUUCUUCUGGGUUAUGCCAUGUGACCAGGAAUAUCAAUCAUAUAUCACUGC
rnacentral:lncRNA from 1 species